rnacentral:rRNA from 1 species
UACGUAGGGGGCAAGCGUUGUCCGGAAUCACUGGGCGUAAAGGGCGCGUAGGUGGCCCGUCAAGCGCGCGGUGAAAGCCCGGGGCUCAACCCCGGGUCGGCCGUGCGGACUGGCGGGCUCGAGCACUGUAGGGGCGGGUGGAAUUCCGGGUGUAGCGGUGAAAUGCGCAGAUAUCAGGAGGAACACCAAUUGCGAAGGCAGCUCGCUGGGACGUUACUGACGCUGAGACGCGAAAGCGUGGGGAGCAAACAGG